AAGGAAAAGAAAAUAAGGGGAAAAUCGAUCAAGGAAAAAAAUAGGAAGAAAAUUGAAAUCUUGCUUCAAAAAUUAUUUUCUCCUAGUAUUCCUACUAAUUCAAGGAUUCUCUACAAUAUGAUAAAGUUAUUUUGGAAAAUAGGAGGCUUGUUUGGUUGAUUUGAAGCUUUGGUAAAGUGAAGAAGUUGGAAGGAAAAGGGGAGAUGCUGCCGAAAUUUUUGUAGACAAGUAUUGGAAAAAUUGAGUUCUUAAAGUCUUAUGAAUAGUAAUUGGUAAAUGUGACCAAUUGUAGAUUUUGGAGGAAACGGGAAUUGAAUUUGGACAACCGUAAAACGUCAAAAAGGUACCGAAGUUCGAUUUGCUGAUCCACCUGUUUAGGAUAUUUGCUGCGUCGUUGACAGUGCUCCCUUAUUCAGAGCUUGUAUUUUGCUACUGACUUUAUCUCUAUAUAUUUGGAUAUGUUGGUCAGGGGUACGACGGGGCCUUGUCCCGUCAUAUGACUAUGCUAUCAUCUGUAGAGGUCUGUAGACAGAGUUAUGUUGUGGGUUUUGUAUAUAUGGUUUGGAUUUUUGUGUGUUUUGUGAUAA